UACGAACUGUGCAAACGUUAUUCGGAAUCACUGGGCUUACAGGGUGCGUAGGCGGCUUGUUAAGUAGGGUGUGAAAGCCCCCGGCUCAACCGGGGAAUUGCGCCCUAAACUGGCGAGCUGGAGUGAGAUAGGGGUGUGUGGAACUUCCAGUGGAGCGGUGAAAUGUGUUGAUAUUGGAAGGAACGCCAGUGGCGAAAGCGACACACUGGGUCUCAACUGACGCUGAGGCACGAAAGCCAGGGGAGCAAACGGG
rnacentral:rRNA from 1 species